rnacentral:rRNA from 1 species
UACCAGCACCCCGAGUGGUCGGGACGUUUAUUGGGCCUAAAGCAUCCGUAGCCGGUUCUACGAGUCUUCCGUUAAAUCCAACUGCUUAACAGGUGGGCUGCGGAAGAUACUAUAGAGCUAGGAGGCGGGAGAGGCAAGCGGUACUCGAUGGGUAGGGGUAAAAUCCGUUGAUCCAUUGAAGACCACCAGUGGCGAAGGCGGCUUGCCAGAACGCGCUCGACGGUGAGGGAUGAAAGCUGGGGGGAGCAAACCGGG